CCAAUGACCACAAGCACGGUAUGCCUUCAAGGCCUUUUCCAAACUUGAACAACAAAGAUAAGUUGUAGCAGCAUCCUCAAAGCAUUUUUUAUCACUAAGAUGAUCGCCCCAUGCCUCAAGGACCUGCAUUCUCUUGGCAGGAUCAGUGAUCAGUUGAAGUCCCAGUGGAAAGAGUUGAGGAUUUUUCUGUAAGAGAUUCAUACAAUCUGAAUAAUAAGCAUCACCAGCUGAAAUAAUGUGUUUGAGAGCAUUCUCAAACCUAUGCAACCUAAGGUCAAUAUUAUAGCGCAUUAUGAGACUUGGCAUGCAUUCUAGUUCUUGUAGAUAAGGAAGAAAUUCCUUUGGGUCUCGUUGAGAGUUCAGAGCUACG
rnacentral:misc_RNA from 1 species